AGACAUAAAUAAAUAUAGACUGGAAGUAGGAAGUUAUUUUUAUUUGGGGGAAGUCAAAUAUGUUUUAUGUACUAUAUCUAUGUGAAAAAAAAUGGCGGCAAUUGAGCUAUAAAUUCUAGGACUAACAUUUCAGCCAAUAUAUAAUUAUGAUCUUUAGUUUUGAAAAGUACAAAACUGCCAUAUUCCCAAUAUUUUGCCUUUGUUUCAUAAUCAUAGACAUAAGCAAAUAUAUAUAGGUUUGUGAUGUGGAUCUAUGUUUGUUGACAUGGCUUCUUUAUUUAUGUAUGGCGGUCGUCUUAUCGAUUCAAAUUGUUAGAAUUAGUUUUUAGUUAAAAAAAAGUCAAAGAAAAUGAGCAGAUCGUGCUCUAAUGUUCGUAGUACGAUAGGCCAAGGAUAAAUUCUAAAGGUUAAAAAAAAUUGAAUAUUAUACACAUUAACUUUCAGUUUCGACUUCAAAAGAUGUUCUACAUGACCAACCUUGUUGUGGUAAAGAGAAUGACCCGGGACAUUUGUCGUAUCAAUUAGUCUAAUUAAGAACAGUGAUGACAGCCAUGGCGUGUUUUCGUUGAACACUGAAUGAACAACAUUGAUUAAUCGGCAUUAAUUAAUAGUAUUUCAAAUACAAGAGCCAGAAACAACACGGCCACUCAAGAGUACACGUGACCACUACUGAGAACACAGAAAGAAAACAAUCAAAGAGUAUCUCGGUGCUAUUAUAAGAUACAAAAAUGUGGGAACCGUUGCUUCUAAGUGGCACAGGUUUUGAUUUUCCCUACACCGACAAUGUCAGCUGAUCAUACGUCACCACCAGUAUUAGAUGGCAGGCCUUAUCCCAUUCAGAC